rnacentral:lncRNA from 1 species
UGCGUCUGAAAAGCUAUGGGAACGUUUGAAUAGUAUAAAAGAGAACAACCCGUGUGUUAUUGCUUUGACAAAUGACAUGGCGCCACCUGGCAAAUCUGAUACAAUGGAUCUCUUGUCAGGUGAUGACAUCGUUUCAGAAUCUGUUUCACAACCAAUGACAGAAAUCAGUUUGCUUGAUCAUGGUUACAUUGAAGACAAUAAAACAAAUUCAAUACAACAAGAUGAAAUACAAACCAAAGGGGACGUAGCAGCACUUCAGUACAUAACUUGCUUCAAAAUGUUGUCAGCUUUACAUGGGGUAUGAAUUAUGAUAUGGAUAUUAGAUUAUUAGU